rnacentral:lncRNA from 1 species
GCAUUACUGGGCAAUUACUCCACUGGCAGUAGGCUACUUGACUGCUAUAUAGGGAUUCGCUGUUUUAUUUAGCUCACUGCCAAGGGAGAUUUGCCCUGCAAUUCACCCAUAUAUACAAAUAAUUGUUGCCAUAUAUGUCUACAAUUUUGUAAAAUCAGGUAUUAUUAGAUUUUUCCGUUUGGGAAGAGUGAUAUACGAAGUUUUGUAUCACAAGUCGUUAUAAUAUGCAUUUCUUUAAAAUCAACGUAAUAGUUAUAAACUCAUAAGCAGGCCUUGUGAGCCAAACAUUGUUUGGAUCGGUGUUUUCUCUGUAUUUUUAUAAAAAAAUGUGCAGUUUGUAAAGGAUGUUCAAGAGUUGGGAUUGCUUCCCCAUUCAACAGCUGGCUGAGACUUGUUAUUAAGAUCUUAUGGAUCAGGGGCGUAAGGCAAUCCCUUGCCUCUUCCUUUCAUUUGGUAAAUUUUUUAUCCUCAGGCUUCUUUUUUCCGGCGAUCUUCUAUUCAAGUUUUAUUUGCAUAGACUUUCCGUUUCUUUUCUUUUGGUUAUAUUCCCUUUAUGUACAGUCCCGGCAUUCUGGGAAUACCAAGUCAAGACAGGCAAGAAGGCUAUGGUUGAUAUUCUCAUCAUCAAGUCAAUUGUCAAUAUAAGUUAUAUGGGAUGAUGAGUGUGGGACAGACACACACAAGUAGAUAUUUAGCUAAAGUUUAGAGCCUGCAUUUCUCAUUAUCUGUACAUGAAUAUUUAUAGAGAAAUAAUUCUUAUUAAAUUAGUUUGGUGUGAUAUAUAUAAAGUAGAAG